rnacentral:rRNA from 1 species
AGAGUUUGAUCCUGGCUCAGGACGAACGCUGGCGGCGCGCCUAACACAUGCAAGUCGAACGAGCGAGAGAGAGCUUGCUUUCUCGAGCGAGUGGCGAACGGGUGAGUAACGCGUGAGGAACCUGCCUCAAAGAGGGGGACAACAGUUGGAAACGACUGCUAAUACCGCAUAAGCCCACGGCUCGGCAUCGAGCAGAGGGAAAAGGAGCAAUCCGCUUUGAGAUGGCCUCGCGUCCGAUUAGCUAGUUGGUGAGGUAACGGCCCACCAAGGCGACGAUCGGUAGCCGGACUGAGAGGUUGAACGGCCACAUUGGGACUGAGACACGGCCCAGACUCCUACGGGAGGCAGCAGUGGGGAAUAUUGCACAAUGGGGGAAACCCUGAUGCAGCGACGCCGCGUGGAGGAAGAAGGUCUUCGGAUUGUAAACUCCUGUUGUUGAGGAAGAUAAUGACGGUACUCAACAAGGAAGUGACGGCUAACUACGUGCCAGCAGCCGCGGUAAAACGUAGGUCACAAGCGUUGUCCGGAAUUACUGGGUGUAAAGGGAGCGCAGGCGGGAAGACAAGUUGGAAGUGAAAUCUAUGGGCUCAACCCAUAAACUGCUUUCAAAACUGUUUUUCUUGAGUAGUGCAGAGGUAGGCGGAAUUCCCGGUGUAGCGGUGGAAUGCGUAGAUAUCGGGAGGAACACCAGUGGCGAAGGCGGCCUACUGGGCACCAACUGACGCUGAGGCUCGAAAGUGUGGGUAGCAAACAGGAUUAGAUACCCUGGUAGUCCACACCGUAAACGAUGAUUACUAGGUGUUGGAGGAUUGACCCCUUCAGUGCCGCAGUUAACACAAUAAGUAAUCCACCUGGGGAGUACGACCGCAAGGUUGAAACUCAAAGGAAUUGACGGGGGCCCGCACAAGCAGUGGAUUAUGUGGUUUAAUUCGACGCAACGCGAAGAACCUUACCAGGACUUGACAUCCAACUAACGAAGUAGAGAUACAUUAGGUGCCCUUCGGGGAAAGUUGAGACAGGUGGUGCAUGGUUGUCGUCAGCUCGUGUCGUGAGAUGUUGGGUUAAGU